GCCGCAAGGUGUCGAUGCCCAUGG
rnacentral:siRNA from 1 species